UACGUAGGUGACAAGCGUUGUUCGGAUUUACUGGGCGUAAAGAGCGCGCAGGCGGUCGAUCAAGUCGAGUGUGAAAGCCCCCGGCUCAACUGGGGAGGGUCAUUCGAUACUGAUCGACUCGAAGGCAGGAGAGGGUAGUGGAAUUCCCGGUGUAGUGGUGAAAUGCGUAGAUAUCGGGAGGAACACCAGUGGCGAAGGCGACUACCUGGCCUGUUCUUGACGCUGAGGCGCGAAAGCUGGGGGAGCAAACGGG
rnacentral:rRNA from 1 species